GACGUAGGGCGCGAGCGUUGUCCGGAUUUAUUGGGCGUAAAGAGCUCGUAGGCGGCUUGUCGCGUCGUCCGUGAAAACCUGCGGCUCAACUGCAGGCUGGCGGUCGAUACGGGCAGGCUGGAGUUCGGUAGGGGAGACUGGAAUUCCUGGUGUAGCGGUGAAAUGCGCAGAUAUCAGGAGGAACACUGGUGGCGAAGGCGGGUCUCUGGGCCGAUACUGACGCUGAGGAGCGAAAGCGUGGGGAGCGAACAGG
rnacentral:rRNA from 1 species